UACGGGGGGGGCAAGCGUUGUUCGGAAUUACUGGGCGUAAAGGGUUCGUAGGUGGCUUGUUAAGUCAGACGUGAAAUCCCUCGGCUCAACCGGGGAACUGCGUCUGAGACUGAUGAGCUCGAGUGCAGGAGAGGAACGCGGAAUUCCAGGUGUAGCGGUGAAAUGCGUAGAUAUCUGGAGGAACACCGGUGGCGAAGGCGGCGUUCUGGACUGCAACUGACACUGAGGAACGAAAGCCAGGGGAGCACACGGG
rnacentral:rRNA from 1 species